GUGCCAGCAGCCGCGGUAAUACGGAAGGGGCUAGCGUUGUUCGGAAUUACUGGGCGUAAAGCGCGCGUAGGCGGCUUUUCAAGUGAGGCGUGAAAGUCCUGGGCUCAACCUGGGGACGGCGCUUCAGACUGUCUGGCUCGAGUCCGGAAGAGGGUGGUGGAAUUCCGAGUGUAGAGGUGAAAUUCGUAGAUAUUCGGAGGAACACCGGUGGCGAAGGCGGCCACCUGGUCCGGUACUGACGCUCAAGUGCGAAAGCGUGGGGAGCAAACAGGAUUAGAAACCCUUGUAGUCC
rnacentral:rRNA from 1 species